GGGGCUCGGCCCGGGAUGCCUUAGCUGGGCGGCGACUCCGGCGAGCGCUCGGGCGGCUGGCUGGAUCCGCCGCGGGUGGGAAGAGGCGCGUGCGAGGUGCUCUCACCGGGAUCUCGGGUCCCGGCAGGAGCCUCGGGUGGAGGCGGAAGGUGUGAGGGGGAAGAGAGGAGGAAGGUGGGGGAGACGAGGAGAGGAGUACGCGC
rnacentral:lncRNA from 1 species